UAUGAAAAAAGCCAAUGGGAUUGCUUUGUUUGCCACACAGUGGGAAGUCCAGGAACUCGCAAGUGUGCAAGUUGGGCAGUCAUAGAAAGCCCUGAGCUCCAGGAGACCAGACCGCAUCCCAGCUGGAAGGUGCUUCAGAGCAAAGGAGGGACGUGGUGUUGACACCACUGCAGGCACCUCAGCCUGGAGCAUUUGCCCUGUGGUUUGGAGAGGAGGAGUGUGCCUGGGUGUUCUGAUUGGUUCACAGAAGCAUCAAGCUCACUCCCACCCAGUCUUGGAUUUUGCUGUCAUCCCCCUUCGUAACACCAAUGCCACCUACCAGAACGCCCUGUCUUCCCGACCUCCGGAUCACCUGGGUUUGCAGACUGCUUUCCGUGCAGACUUCACGUGGUACUGUCCCUCCUCCGAACCCCAAACACAUAUUCUCUAUGCCACAGCAUGCAGCGUGAUAUUAAAGGACACAUCGUGCCCAUGAGUCUGACAUCUGGAGCAUUAUUCUGCUGUGUAAACAACCCACCCU
rnacentral:lncRNA from 1 species